rnacentral:rRNA from 1 species
UACGUAGGGUGCGAGCGUUGUCCGGAAUUAUUGGGCGUAAAGAGCUCGUAGGCGGUUUGUCGCGUCUGCUGUGAAAACCUAAGGCUCAACCUUGGGCUUGCAGUGGGUACGGGCAGACUAGAGUGCGGUAGGGGUGACUGGAAUUCCUGGUGUAGCGGUGGAAUGCGCAGAUAUCGGGAAGAACACCCGUGGCGAAGGCGGCUCUCUGGGACGGUACUGACGCUGAGACGCGAAAGCGUGGGGAGCGAACAGG